rnacentral:rRNA from 1 species
GUUCAUACGUUGACGGUAUUUAACCAGAAAGUCACGGCUAACUACGUGCCAGCAGCCGCGGUAAUACGUAGGUGGCAAGCGUUAUCCGGAUUUAUUGGGCGUAAAGAGAGUGCAGGCGGUUUUCUAAGUCUGAUGUGAAAGCCUUCGGCUUAACCGGAGAAGUGCAUCGGAAACUGGAUAACUUGAGUGCAGAAGAGGGUAGUGGAACUCCAUGUGUAGCGGUGGAAUGCGUAGAUAUAUGGAAGAACACCAGUGGCGAAGGCGGCUACCUGGUCUGCAACUGACGCUGAGACUCGAAAGCAUGGGUAGCGAACAGGAUUAGAUACCCUGGUAGUCCAUGCCGUAAACGAUGAGUGCUAGGUGUUGGAGGGUUUCCGCCCUUCAGUGCCGGAGCUAACGCAUUAAGCACUCCGCCUGGGGAGUACGACCGCAAGGUUGAAACUCAAAGGAAUUGACGGGGGCCCGCACAAGCGGUGGAGCAUGUGGUUUA